rnacentral:rRNA from 1 species
UACGUAGGGCGCAAGCGUUGUCCGGAAUCACUGGGCGUAAAGGGCUCGCAGGCGGCCUGUCGCGUCGGCCGUGAAAGCCCGAGGCUCAACCUCGGAGGUGCGGUCGAUACGGGCAGGCUCGAGGGCGGUAGAGGGGAGUGGAACUCCCGGUGUAGCGGUGAAAUGCGCAGAUAUCGGGAGGAACACCGGUGGCGAAGGCGGCUCCCUGGACCGUACCUGACGCUCAGGAGCGAAAGCGUGGGGAGCGAACAGGAUUAGAUACCCUGGUAGUCCACGCCGUAAACGUUGGGCGCUAGGUGUGGGGUCCUUCCACGGGUUCCGCGCCGUAGCUAACGCAUUAAGCGCCCCGCCUGGGGAGUACGGCCGCAAGGCUAAA